CCGGGUGCAGCUCCGCUUAUUUGCGCCCGACUGGAGACAGAGAGGAGGGAACCGAAUCGCUCUCGUUCUGUCCUCCCUCCGCUCACAGGGACUACUAGUACCCAGCACUCCGAACCUAAACCCAGGGGAGGGGAAGGGGAAGCGAUCGAGUCAUGGUUUCGUACCGCUACCGAUCUAAGGUCGGCCAUAUCGGGAUCAUCAGCAAGAGGAUGAAGAUCGUAAGAUUCUGGAAGCGAUUGACGAGAACAUGGAUGGGAUUUGGAACUGUUUUGGAGCAUGCCCAUAGUUUCUUUGAAGUAUUUGAGUCGGAAUCUGGAGAUCAUUAAACAGGUGAUGCCAAUGUGACCCGAAGCCAAUCUGAUGUGCAUAAUAGGCAUUGUACCAUUCUUGGAGUCAACGAGCUCCUAAAAGGAUCGAGAUCUCGGCCACCUAUACUAAAUGCAGACUCAGAAGCCAUCAUUGAGAUAGACACAACUAAUAUAUCACGAACCAUUCGGGAGAGGAUUUAAUUAGAACCCAUUCCCCGUCAAUUGGCAUCAGAGCAAGAUCACUGGUUCACAAUAAUCAUUGGGUAAAAAGGAGAAGCUCAGGAUUGAUGGUUUCACAAUUAUUCUAGUCAUCAUUCAUAUAUACGUUCGUGGGCACCGACGAAGUUUCUGCGUGGAAGGAGGUAUUCUGGUUAUCCAACUAGAACUAGAAAACAUUACUUUUGUUUUUCAAGCCCAAAACAAAAGUGUAUGAGACUCGGUCAGAUGUGGGUCAACAAUAUGAACCCCCAAGUCAAAUCCAGAGUCAAAAUUGAAGCCGACACCAAAACCGGAAGUGGAACCUGAACCAGAUUUUGAACCAGAACUAGAUCAUGAAGCCAAUCCAGUGUCAUAAUAUGAACAAGAUCUAGAAGAAGAAGAAAAUCAGAAGAUAGAUUCAGAGCACGAAUUGAACUCGAGUCCAAACCAAAAACUGAGCAAAAGGUUGACCCAGAGGCGGAGCUUGAAUCAAACUCAAAACCUGAGUCCUAAGUUGAAGUGCAGCUCGAGAUACUUCCUAUCGACAAUAAUUCUAUAAUAGAAUUUGUCAUUCCAAAUCCUCCGCCAUCUACACAUUAUCGAAUUAUGCAAAUAAUUUUAAAGAUCGUGCAGUGCAAACAACAAUACUACCCACUGAUUGAAGGAAUUUUUGUACUCUCCCUUCAUAAAACUCGAGGUCAAGUUUUCUCUAACAUGACAAGUUAAGAUUGAGUUAGUUUUAUUUGGUAAUUUAGUUUGGAUUUCAUUUAGGAGAUCUUAUUUUAGUUGAUAGGGAUUUGCAAUUUACGAAUUAAUCUUUUUAGGUGUUUUGUUAGAUAUUUGGUUAGGAUAAUAUUUUCAGUUUUAUUAGAUGAGGUUUAGGUGAUUUGAUGUUAUCUUUAUUGUUAACUUUGUUAUAUAAAUAAGUUGUAUCCUCUAUGAUGAAAGACCAUUGAUUGAUGAAUAAAGUUAUGGUUAUGUGAGAAUUUUGGAAUAGUUCCUCAAGGUGUGUAGCCAUUUAUUCAUAUGCUAGAUGUUGUGAGUGAAUCCGAUCCUAAUUUAUCUGUUUUUUACCUUAGAUUUCUUUCCCAAAAAAGCUACUGUUCACAGACUAUUCAAGUGGUUACUGUUCACUCGGUAUUGUUCAUCAUCUUCCGGUGAUCAUCCAAUCCAUUUUCCAGCAGCCUUUUCAAUUUUAAAUUCAAUCAAAAACCAUUGCCCGUCAAGGAGCUUCAUGCACUGGCCUGUCUUUUGGGUUGUCCCUCUCCUUUUUUUUCGAAAGAACAGGAAAAAGGUAAACGGAUUUAUCUAUUCAUAAAAUAUAUGGUAUGAUGCUGGUAAUAAAUUAAUAAUGUUUAUCGACUUCCAAAUCUUUCCAUGUUACUCACUUCGUCAUCUCCUUUUAUGGUGACAGAUCUUGUUUUUUUCGUGUAGGAUUUUAUCCUUUUUGUGCAUUCCCUUGGGAUAACCGAAACUUUGUAAAUUUAGGUUAUAUGCAUUCCUCUUCAUAGGAGAAUGGUCAGGUGCGAGAUUUGAAGUAAUAACUAGGUAACUGUUUUGCAGCAUGAGAAUCCAGACAUUAAGAUGUUAGCGCAAGGCUGUAGCCAACAGAAAAUGACAUCGAAUUUUGCACUUGGUUGCUCAUCAAACCUACUGUGUCAGUUUUCAGAAUUAAGAUCAGACAACUAAAUUGCAUGACUAUAUCCAAGAUGCAUCAGUGUGGUUAAUUAAUGUUGUACAAAGUACAUAUCAAUAUGGUCUACUUGCGCACGCAGUGCCACCAUUUUUAAAAAUCAGAAGAAAUGGAAAAAUGGGAAAAUAAUCUAAAUUUCAUAAUGUAAUGUGCCAAGUUACCAACAAUUAUUUGCAAUAAGAUCAGUGAUUAACGGUAGAUGAAAGAUCACAUUAAAGACAAAGUCAAUUAGAAGUAGUAAGCUAAUAUGCUCCUAACUAAAUAAGAAGCUAACAAUUAACAAGCAUGAGGAAAAUUGUAAGUAAUACAGUGAAAAUUGAUCCUUCUGUUCUCUCGCAGAAAAAUAAAAAUAAAAAUAAAAAAUAAAACAAAAUGGUAACAAAAUAUGUAGUAUGACAAGAUCAUUGCCUUCUGCAUUGAUAUGCGUCCGAUGUUAACCUGCAUUACAGUAUUUUCGAUUUAUGUGUGGCAAAGGACCAUAUAAAAUCUGCAGCUGAUCAUAGUGGGUAUAAUGAUUAUGAACAAUACUUCUUGUUGUAAAGA